GACGAACGCUGGCGGCGUGCUUAACACAUGCAAGUCGAACGGGUCUGCCCUGUUUUUUGCGGGGUGGGUCAGUGGCGAACGGGUGAGUAACACGUGAGUAACCUGCCCCUCACUUCUGGAUAACCGCUUGAAAGGGUGGCUAAUACGGGGUGUUCUGGCUGUGCCGCAUGGUGUGGCUGGGAAAGAUUCACUUUUGUGGUGUUUUGGUGGGGGAUGGGCUCGCGGCCUAUCAGCUUGUUGGUGGGGUGAUGGCCUGCCAAGGCUUUGACGGGUAGCCGGCCUGAGAGGGUGGGCGGUCACACGGGGACUGAGAUACGGCCCAGACUCCUGCGGGAGGCAGCAGUGGGGGGUAUUGCACAAUGGGCGGAAGCCUGAUGCAGCGACGUCGCGUGAGGGAUGGAGGCCUUCGGGUUGUGAACCUCUUUCGCCGGUGAAGAAGGUCCUGCUCUUUGUGGUGGGGUUGACGGUAGCCGGGUUACGAAGCGCCGGCUAACUACGU
rnacentral:rRNA from 1 species